rnacentral:rRNA from 1 species
CCCUUAGAUGUUCUGGGCCGCACGCGUGCUACACUGAGUAUUUCAAUGGGUAAGGGAACGCUAGAGCAUUACCUAAUCUUGAAAUUUGCUCGUGAUGGGGAUCGACGGUUGCAAUUUUCCGUCGUGAACGAGGAAUACCUUGUAGGCGCAUGUCAUCAUCAUGCGCCGAAUACGUCCCUGCCCUUUGUACACACCGCCCGUCGCUCCUACCGAUUGAGUGAUCCGGUGAGGCUCUGGGACCUGGACGGAAAGAGCGUUUCGCUUGUUCUGUUUGGGAAACUUGGUCGAACCUUAUCAUUUAGAGGAAGGAGAAGUCGUAACA